GCAGAUGUGGCCGAGUGGUUAAGGCGACUGACUCGAAAUCAGUUUUCCUCUAUGGGAGCGUAGGUUCGAAUUAUACCAUUUGCG